AUGUUUGGAUUUUAUUGUUCUAAACAUGUGUUUCAGUUGGAGCUCUCGGAUCUACUGUGUGAAGAAAAUGAAAUGUUACUGUUCCUGAUUUUCGUCGUGGCUUUUGUCUGUGGAGUGUUGCUCUUCUGUCUCCAUCACUGGCUGAGAAAUCGUCGAAGUGAUUCCUCAAGAUGCACCGUGGCUGUUUUUGCUGUUGGGGAUUUGGACACCAACUAUGGUGAGUUCUCUGCGUACUCUGAGCUCCUCCUUGAAACCUUGAGGAAGUAUCCUCUGAAAGCAGAUUUUUGAACUUCAAAUAAUACCUGGCUUAUGAGAGGCGCACUUUGAGG
rnacentral:lncRNA from 1 species